AGGAAGCCAAAUCGACGAUCGGUGAUGACCUCCGGCGUCGAAAAUAGCCAAAAGAGAAGGGGCGGAACAGAGGUUUCUUUGAUCUCAAUUUUUUGGUAAACCCAGUCGCUGGCGGUCGAGCACACAUACAAGAAAAGGAAGGGGUGGAAGGGAGGAAGAGGAGCUGGGGCUUACUUUGAACUCUAGUGAUUACUGUGGCGAGAAAUCAAAGCGGGCACGGUGAAGGAUUUUCGCGAAAAUCUUUGACGAUCCUCGCCAAUUGCUCUCGAUUCUUGAUGGGA
rnacentral:lncRNA from 1 species